rnacentral:tRNA from 1 species
GUCUGGGUGGCUCAGUCGGUUAAGCGUCUGACUUCAGCUCAGGUCUCAUAGCCCGUGAGUUCGAGCCCCGCAUCAGGCU